UACGGAGGGUGUAAGCGUUAUCCGGAUUCACUGGGUUUAAAGGGAGCGUAGGUGGGCUUUUAAGUCAGUGGUGAAAUCUUUGGGGCUUAACCCGAAACUAGCCAUUGAUACUAUUAGUCUUGAAUUCUCUGGAGGUAAGCGGAAUAUGUCAUGUAGCGGUGAAAUGCUUAGAUAUGACAUAGAACACCCAUUGCGAAGGCAGCUUACUACGGAGACAUUGACACUGAGGCUCGAAAGCGUGGGGAUCAAACAGGAUUAGAAACCCGGGUAGU
rnacentral:rRNA from 1 species